rnacentral:lncRNA from 1 species
GAAGACUCAGAGUUAAGGUCCUCCCUUUCUCAUUCUUUUCUCCAUUCCUCUUCCUCUUCCCUGGUUUCUGCCCCUCAACUAUUGACCAGCCCAUCUCCCUCUCCCCACUGUAACAAUAAUGGUCAUAACAAGAAUGCUGGACACUUCCUCUCCUUAUCCCCCAAGGCACUGGCACCAACUCCACUAAGCAUUCAGUUUUCCAGCAUCACCUGAUUCUUGGAAGAUAAGUGGGUAGAUAUACACGGGCCUCCCUGAGUUAGAUACUCUGGCAUGUUUCACAGAUGGUAUUCCAGCCAGUUGGACUGUGCCUUUUAGCCAGAAAGGUUAUGAAAUGCACCAAAUAGGAUCACAGGAUUUGUUGUCAAGGCCAGCCCCUGUUUAUUGAGUAUCUACGAUGGCCUGGCACUUGUGGUAGCUGCAGAGAGAAAUGCAGUGGCGAAGGGGAUGUGAUCUUGCUAUCAAGAAACUUAGCAUUUGAAAAGGAAAAUGAGACCAGCUCACAUCAGAAGAAGAACCUAAGAAAAACAUGAUCGGGGGGAUUCUUUGGGGAUAGUGCCUGAGUGUCUACCCCUAACACUUUUUCACUUUUCAGCCCCUUCAAGCCAUGAGGUACCAAGGCCACCAGUGGGAUAGUGAACCUGAUCCUAAUGGGGAUGCUGAGACAUCUGAGGGUUGAGUUAGAGGUGAAGGAGCAAAGAAAGAGAAAGCCAGCCUCUUUUCAAGGUCUGGGCAAAGAGAGCAGAUUGUGUGCCUCCUGAAGGAAGCCCUUCACAUAUCUUCAUCAGGAUGUGGUCCAUGGAAGGACCCUCUACUUCUGCUAAUCAUGGUAGCCCUGGAGGAGUGAGGCAGAAACUAGCAGAUGAGCUUCUGCGUCUGGUAGGUUGGGUGUCCUGCCAGUCCUUUCAGUGCCUCAGCAGAUGGUAACAGGAAGAUAAACUUCCCUACCAUUCUGGACUUUCUCCUUGCCCAGAAACAAACAUCUGACCUAUACAAACUAAUAGAACAUGACCUUCAAGAAAAACUAUAGCUUCUCCAGUGGGAUUCAGGAACUAGAGGAGAGAAACCCAAAUGUUUAGGACAGACGACUCAUUGCUGAUAGAAGAGAUGGAGAGAUGAAGAUGAAAAUAAUGAGCAUUCUCAAAGACGUGAUUGAAACACCACAAAGAUCUUCUGGACCUACGUUCAUGAUGUCUGCAUUGAAAUAGCUAUUAGAUGAAUGAGGGAAAAAUGGCAUAAUUCUUGAUAGCAACUGAAUUAGAGAGCUGCAGGAUUAAGUAAAAGGAAACACAACAUGAACUCAACAUAUCCUCAUUGAAUUCAUGACUAUUCAUAAUGACAUUUUCUAAUAGAGCAUUCUGAUUAGUUGAAAAUAAAGGAGUUAAGGGAGAAUUGGACUAGUGUUAUGCUUGUCUGCCAUAUGGAAAGCUGAAAGAUGAUAAAAUUAAGUAUAUAGAGAAAAGCCAACUGAAAGCUAAAGAUGGUGAAAUAAAAUCUAUUGUGAGAAAAGGUCUGAAAUCAAAGAAGCAUAUAAUUAAGAAAAUAUUGUUUAUUUGGUUCCAAAGAAAAUUAUUUUGGAAACAGGUAAGGACUCUGUUUAUUACCCCUAUAGCCUUUCUGAUUAAAACACUGCAGAAAAUUAUCUACCCAAAUGACAACUGAAAACAAUGGAGAUCUCAAGACCAAAAGGAUCGGAAACAAUGGAUCAUGAUAAUGAUGUAAUUGAGAUGUUGUAAAAUAUUGGGAUGCAAGUUGAAGAGAAGAGUGAUGACUAAGCCAUGGGCCUGUGAUAAGUGCCUAUCAUGUUCCAAACCCUUGACGAGGGUGCUUUGCAUACAGUGUCCUUUCAUUUAACGAUUUAAUCAGGUCUGGGUUAAUAUGCUGAGCACACACUCAUUUUAAUAGAAUGCCUUCCAGAAACAUUCACUGAGGACCAGAAAUCAACAUAUCAUUUUAGAAGAAGUUAGGUAAAAAAGGGGCUUAUGCAUCGAAUGUGAUUAUUGAAAUUGGUUGCAGAUAAACACGUUAAAUACUUUGCUGACAGAUUUCAUUCAUAAGACACAAGACAUAGCAAUUUCAACUGAUGUGCGAGUUCAUAGAUGUUGACGUUGCUUUACAAGUUCAUUAGAAUGGUUUUGCUGGCUGUAAUCAUAGAGGCAUACAUACGUCUGCUGCAAAGACGUCAGAGCUCACCUAAUUUUCCUAGGCUAUCUUAAUAGGGUGUCUGCUGGUUGUACCAUCUCCGAAUGGGGAAUCUCUUAAUCUCACAAUGCAAGAGCAGAGGCUUUCUUUUCCAUCUGGCAUAGCUCUAUCUGAAGACCUUGGGGAUCUUAGGGAGGAGAGUGAUUUCCAACAGAAGGGAGAAGACCUUUGGACAUAUUUUUGUCAUGAAGCAGCCUCCCGUCCUUCCUUGAGUAUGUUUCCUGCUACAUCUGUCUCUGGCAUAGCCUGGGUUUCUCCUGUUUGCCUUGAGAAGGGAGAUUCUUUGGUACAUUUACAGGGCCUUGAAAGCCUGGUGCCUUCCUAGAAGGAAGGAAAUAAUCUUUCUUGUACUACAGAAAAGAACAGAGCACAGCUCUGGCUAAAGUAUGUUGCUAAAGAAAUUUAAACAAAGCAAACUAUGGAUACCUCAGAUGCAAGAUUUUGUUACUUAACAAGUCGGAGUAAUAACUACUAAGUCAAUGAAUCUAAGUCUACCCUAUAAACAAGGAUUAUGAUAUUUAAGCAGGGCUUUGGCUCACGACAAUUAUGUCGGCAGCCAAUUGUGAUAGCUACCCUGUCUUUCUGCUUCAUCACUUGAAGCUACAGUCUCCAGCUUUCCACUCCGCAUCUAUCAUGAAGACACAUUGAUUUCCUUUCUGGAGAAACACAUAUUUCUUUUCUCCUGCUAAAAAGAUAAAUCUGACAGAUUUUAAUCAAAUGUAGUUGUUCACAACUAUAGAAAUACGUACAGUGCCACAUAUGAAAACAAAAAUACAACACUCCCAAAGGAGAAGGAGUUCUAUGGCCAAGUUUCUUUGUAGAAAAGACUUGCAUUAAUA